rnacentral:rRNA from 1 species
AAACCCCCUCGCCGAAAGACUAAGGUUUCCUGAUCAACGCUAAUCGGAUCAGGGUUAGUCGGGUCCUAAGGCUCAGCCGAACGGUGAGGCCGAUGGCAGAACAGGUUAAUAUUCCUGUACUACCUUAAGGAGUGACGUGGAGACGGAGGCGUGAUAGCGCCGCGGACUGACGGAAUAGUCCGUUGAAGGGUGUAGAUGUUGAUCUUUGCAGGCAAAUCCACAAAGAGAGUCGAACCUGAUAGUAUACCAAAUUCUUCGGAAUAAGGUAAUAGUGCGUGUAAACAUACUCCCAAGAAAAUCCGCUAAACUUAAUCUUUAAGGUACCCGUACCGCAAACGGACACACGUAGUCGGGUUGAAUAUACUAAGGCGCUUGAGUGAUUCACGGUUAAGGAACUAGGCAAAUUGACCCUGUAACUUCGGGAUAAAGGGUCCCAACGAGAGUUGGGCGCAGAGAAUAGGUCCAGGCAACUGUUUAACAAAAACACAGGGCUGUGCCAAAUUGAAAGAUUACGUAUACAGCCUGACACCUGCCCGGUGCUGGAAGGUUAAGAGGAGAUGUCAUCGCAAGAGAAGCAUUGAAUUGAAGCCCCAGUAAACGGCGGCCGUAACUAUAACGGUCCUAAGGUAGCGAAAUUCCUUGUCGGGUAAGUUCCGACCUGCACGAAUGGUGUAAUGAUCUGGACACUGUCUCAACCGUGAGCUCAGUGAAAUUGUAGUAUCGGUGAAGAUGCCGAUUACCCGCGAUGGGACGAAAAGACCCCGUGAACCUUUACUAUAGCUUAACAUUGAAUUUGGGUAAUUGAUGUGUAGGAUAGGCCGGAGACUUCGAAGCAGGUACGCCAGUAUUUGUGGAGUCGCUGUUGAAAUACGGCCCUUUGAUUAUUUGAGUUCUAACUCGUUGAUGCGAGGACACUGUUUGGUGGGUAGUUUGACUGGGGUGGUCGCCUCCAAAAGUGUAACGGAGGCUUCUAAAGGUGCCCUCAGGACGAUUGGUAACCGUCCGUAGAGUGUAAUGGCAUAAGGGCGCUUGACUGGGAGACAGACAAGUCGAUCAGGUAGGAAACUAGAGCAUAGUGAUCCGGUGUUUCCGUAUGGAAGGGACAUCGCUCAAAGGAUAAAAGGUACUCCGGGGAUAACAGGCUGAUCCCUCCCAAGAGCUCAUAUCGACGGAGGGGUUUGGCACCUCGAUGUCGGCUCGUCACAUCCUGGGGCUGGAGAAGGUCCCAAG